CUACUCAAAGCAAUGGGACCAUGAAAUGAGAGUUGGGGAUAUUCACUCAGAUUUGGAUAUAUCCUGUCAUCCCACAUAGCUCCUCACACCAGCAGAAGCAGCUUUCCCAAUUGUCUGGUGUUGGAGGCCCUGGGGUGGUCACCUUGAAAGAGAAUGUCCACCCAUGUGCCCCAGCUACAGCCCUCAUCACUUCAACAUCAACAGCUGGGGGCGGCUCCACCUCUGGACGGUGCAGCAGUCGGAACUGAGAGGUUGAAGACCGGUGGUUUUCUGCAGAAACCUGGGGAAUGUGUGGAUUUGAGUCCAAAGGUGUCAGGGCAAACACGUUGAAGUGGGAAUUUGAGGGCCGGUUUAGUCUCCUCUUCCACUGAACUAGUAGCUGAGCUGGAGUGACUGGUCCUGACCACCCAGGAGAAUAAUGCCGAAGCAGCUGGUCAGUGUGGCGGGAAGAGGCGAGCCUGCAAAGCACAGGUGUGACCAGCACUUUUGGAAACAUCUCACUGGCCCAGACAUCACUGAACCACACCUACGUGGACUACAUCAAAUGACAUGGGAUUUGGAGAGGGGAUUUUUUAUGGUGUUUGUUUCUUUGGAUUUUCUUGUAGUGCUGG
rnacentral:lncRNA from 1 species